UACGAAGGGGGCUAGCGUUGUUCGGAUUUACUGGGCGUAAAGCGCACGUAGGCGGAUUGUUAAGUCGGGGGUGAAAUCCUGGAGCUCAACUCCAGAACUGCCUUCGAUACUGGCAAUCUCGAGUCCGGAAGAGGUAAGUGGAACUCCUAGUGUAGAGGUGGAAUUCGUAGAUAUUAGGAAGAACACCAGUGGCGAAGGCGGCUGACUGGUC
rnacentral:rRNA from 1 species